CACGUAGGGUGCGAGCGUUGUCCGGAAUUAUUGGGCGUAAAGAGCUCGUAGGCGGUGUGUCGCGUCGGCCGUGAAAACCUGCAGCUUAACUGUGGGCUUGCGGUCGAUACGGGCAUCACUGGAGUUCGGCAGGGGAGACUGGAAUUCUCGGUGUAGCGGUGAAAUGCGUAGAUAUCGAGAGGAACACCUGCGGCGAAGGCGGGUUGCUGGGCUGAUACUGACGCUGAGGCGCGAAAGCCAGGGGAGCGAACGGG
rnacentral:rRNA from 1 species